rnacentral:rRNA from 1 species
AUGGGCCCUCUUGUGGUAGACCCACAUGUCAUCGGUGUAACUAUUUACACUCCGGAGCACGGUGCCUAUAUCCUCGUAGUAGUACUAGUAGAAUUGAGAUUUAAUGCACUUUCUUCCCCGUCUUCCACUCUUCUUCCUCCUCUCUUCUUCUUCCUCCUCUCUUCCCCAUCGUCGGCCACACACCAUUUACCCCCGCUCACUGCUCGCCCGCCCGCGCCAUCUUCCUUGGUAGCUCGCGCCCACUACUGGGCGGGCAUGAAGGCCAACUGGAUCGUCCUCAUCCACCACACCAGUAGUCCAUGGCGUCUCGUGCAUAUCUACACCCAAGAUUCGUCGACACAGCUUGUUGCCAGCUGGAAUUACCGAGGCAAGUCGAAGAAGGACUGGCCGGUGCUACCGGCUGGCGUCAAGUUCGAUCCCACGGAUCAGGAGCUGAUCGAGCACCUUGAGGCCAAAGUGAGUGUUGACAACGCGAGAUUUCAGUCUCUCAUCGAUUUGUUCAUACCAACCAUCGACAGCGAGCACGGCAUAUGCUACACCCAACCUGAGAAACUUCCAGGUAUCACACUGAGUGGCCUAAGGAAGCAUUUCUUCCAGCGCAAUUCCAGGGCGUUGAAAAGGGGCACGUGGACGCGUCGCAAGAUACAGUCGGAGUGCGGCAUGCACGCGAUGUGGCACAAGACCGGCAAUAGCUUGCCUGUGAUGAGGACCAACUGGGUGAUGCACCAGUACCUCCUCGGGGACCUGGAGCAAGAGAAGGAGCGGGAGCUGGUCCUCUGCAAGAUUUUCUACCAGACGAACACUAGGGCCAUGUGUAGUUUGGUAUUGGUAGUUGUACUACCUUGUCGUCCACAAGUUGGUAUUGUAGUUAACAAUCUUUUGGCCCAGCCCAUGACGACAAUGGGGCACAAAGAUCCAGCAGGUAUCUACUGGCCUCUGGCCCUCCAGCGUUAG